AAACUAGAUUAGAUACCCUAUUAUGCUUAGCCGUAAACCUAAAUAAUUAAUAAACAAAAUUAUUCGCCAGAGUACUACAAGCAACAGCUUAAAACUCAAAGGACUUGGCGGUGCUUUAUAUCCCUCUAGAGGAGCCUGUUCUAUAAUCGAUAAACCCCGAUAAACCUCACCACUUCUUGCUAAUUCAACUUAUAUACCGCCAUCCUCAGCAAACCCUGUCAAGGCCUCAAAGUAAGCAAAAACACAUACAUAAAGACGUUAGGUCAAGGUGUAGUCUAUGAAGUGGAAAGAAAUGGGCUACAUUUUCUAACAUAAGAACAACAUCCCAACAGAAGCCUUUAUGAAACUAAAAGCCAAAGGAGGAUUUAGCAGUAAAUUAAGAAUAGAGAGCUUAAUUGAAUUGGGCCAUGAAGCACGCACACAUCGCCCGUCGCUCUU
rnacentral:rRNA from 1 species